rnacentral:rRNA from 1 species
AAUAGAUACCCGGGUAGUCCUAGCCGUAAACGUUGGGUGCUAGGUGUGGGCGGAUAUCGACCCCGUCCGUGCCGAAGCUAACGCAUUAAGCACCCCGCCUGGGGAGUACGGCCGCAAGGCUAAAACUCAAAGGAAUUGACGGGGCCCCGCACAAGCGGCGGAGCAUGCUGCUUAAUUCGAUGCAACGCGAAGAACCUUACCUGGGUUUGACAUGCAGGGUGAAACCCGUGAAAGCGGGCGCUCUUCGGAGCCUGCACAGGUGGUGCAUGGCUGUCGUCAGCUCGUGCCGUGAGGUGUUGCCUUAAGUGGCGCAACGAGCGCAACCCCUGUCCUUAGCUGCCAGCGGGUCAUGCCGGGAACUCUAGGGAGACUGCCGGUGCCAAACCGGAGGAAGGUGGGGAUGACGUCAAGUCAGCAUGCCCCUUAUACCCAGGGCUGCAAGCAUGCUAACAUGCGCGAUACGAAAGGGCUGCGACGUCCCGGUAAGGGGNGACGAACUACCCGAAAAAGUCGCGCUCGAGUUCGGAUCGGAGGUCUGACCCG